GGAAUGACAAGGAAAAAAAAUGUCUGUACAUGUUCACUACAGAUUUUUUUUUUUAAUUUUUGCCGAUUCCAAAAUAUCUGGAUGCUUAAGUCCUAGAACCAAUCCCCCAGAUACCAAGGGACAAGGGUACUGUAUUGGAAGUAUUAGGAAAUUUUCUAUAAUGGGCCAGAUAGUAAAUAUUUGAGGUUUUGAAGGCCUAAAAUUCAACAUGGUCUGUGUUGAAUGAUUUUGUUUUUAAACACUUUGAAAAUAUAAAAAAUAUUAUUAUUUCAUAGGCCAUAGAAAAGCAAGUUGGCUCCCUGGCAAUGAUUUGCUGACCCCUGCUGUAAUAGAUAAACUUGUUUCUUACAGGGGCUUGGAAUAGCAAUUCUGAAACUACAGUACAAACUCAGACAAACCCAAAUUGAGAAACAGCCUAUAAAAUACUUGAUCAGUAUUCCUGAAAAUAAUAGAGGUCGUGAAAAAAAGAUAAGACUGUAACAGUUCUGGACCAGAGGGAGCCAAAAUUAUAUGAUGUCUAAAUGCAAUAUGAUAUCCUGGGUGAAUCAUGGGACGUAAAAUGGAACAUUAGGGGAAAACUGUGAAAUCCAAAUAGGAUCUGAAAUUCAGUUAUAGUAUUAUACUAAUGUUAAUUUCUUCAUUUUGACCAAUGUACCAUGGUUACAUAAAAUGUUCAUGAGGGGAAGCUGAAUGGAGGGUAUAAUGAAAACUCUUUGUAGCACUUCUGCACCUUUUGUAUAAAUCUAAAAUUUUCCCAAAAUAAAAAGUAUAUUAGAAAUAGGUAUCAUUUAAUUUCUCAUUAUAAAUAUUCCCAUAUUAUAGAAUGUUUAUGUAUGUAUAUAUUUAUUCACUUAGUGGCUAUAGCAAUGUAUCAGGUAGGUGAACUAGUGGCAUGGUAACCAGAGUCAGAUAAAAUGUAUGUAUUACAUUGGGGUAUAAUUGACAAACCAAAAAUAUUUUAAUUACUUUCAGUUCAUAUUAUGAUCUCAUUAUGCAUGGUCUUAUACUCUCAUCCCAAGAUUUGUUGUACUUUUUUUAUUGUAUGGUCCAGAUGUGUCCAUUUACUUUUAAUCCCAGGUAGUUUAUAAUUUUGCAAUUACAUUUGGUGUCUUAAAAAAACUCCCUAUACAUUUUGUACUGUAGAACAGCAAUUACGUUUUUAUAGCGUUAUAGUCAUAAUUUACAUAUUAAUAUUUACAGGUAGUAAGUGUAUAGAUCAAUGGUGUUUAAUAAGUUUAUAGGGUUGUGCCACUAUCAUUACAAUCCAAUUGUAGAACAUCUUCAUGACUCCAAAGAGUAAUGGAUGAUUGUUUUGUUAUUGUUGAGUUAUGAGAGUUAUUUAUUCAGCAUACAAAUCCUUUGUAAGAUGUCUAAUGUGGAAAUAUUUUCUCCCAACACGUGGCUUCCUUUUUCACUUUCUUAAAUGGUGUGCUUAGAAGCACAAAAGCUUUUUUUAAAAUUUUAAUUAAUUCCACUUUAUUAAUUUUAGUUCCUUUUGUGGCUCAUCCUUUACUGUCUCGUCUCAGAACUAAGCCAUGUUCAUGAAGAUUAUCUCUUGUUUUUUUCUCUUUUAAGUUUUAUACUUUUACCUCUUAAAUUUAGGUCUAUAAUCCAUUUUGAGUUAAUUUUUGUGCAUGGUUUAAAGGUCUUAACUCAUUUUUCUGCGUAUGGAUAUCCAAUUAACCCAGUGUCAUUUGUUGAAAAGACUAUCCCUAUUGAAUUGUCUUGCCACUUUGGCAAAAAAGCUCUUGACGUUAGUAUUUUCUUACUCUCGAUUCUGGCUCCGCUCUUCCCAUUGGCUCCACGCCUUUAUAAGUCUUACUUUUAGUGGUCUUUCUGGAGGCCCCAACCCUGAUCCUAACUCAGGCUCCUCCAAGCCGCUUUUUCUCGCUAGCCUGUCGCGGCCCGCCGUGGACUGUACCACUUUCUCCAAACUGUUUUUAAAAACCGCUUUCUGCAAGUCGUUUCGUGCCAGACGCUUUCCGUGACUGUCCGCCUACCUGAUGUGUUACCUUUCCCCUUUCCACGACUCCAUUUUCUGCUAUACCGACACCUGACUGAACUUACUAAACCUUUAAAAAAAUUUUUUUAAACAAAGCGAAUAAAAGCUGUGGCAAUAUUACUUCUCCGCCCAGCCCGCUAAACGCAAUUUAUCCCGCCCCAUAUUUGCCUUCUAAAGCUUGAGUCUCUGAAAAUCUGCCCAUUUUCCGUAAGAGUCGAAGUGCCAGGAAACGAGGCAAUUUCAGUGGCUUAUCACCUUCCCCGACUGCUGCCCCCAAACCUGCCACUUUACCGUCUGUACGUCAGCUCGCCAAACAUGGCUGCACCCGUGGGGCCACGACCUUUGGGCUCGGCCAUGUUACGUCAUCAGACCUAGCCGGAAAGGCUGUUGUCCGCGCUCCUCCAAAUAGUUGGGACCCUCCUCGGUCGCCGUAGGCGGACCGGGACCCGGUGCGAGAGGUUCUGGAGGAGAAGCGGUUUACGGAAGUGUAACGUUUAGGCCCUCCUUGCGGGUCUGGAGAAAAUCAGCUCAGUGUGUGGUUUUGUCUCUUACAGCGUGAGGGAGGUCUGUGGACGUGGUGUAGCAUGGAUCAUGUAGUUCUCGGCGGGGGGCCGAGAGGGAGCACCGGGCAGAGGUGUUUGGGCAGUACCUGGUGGGAGUCUGUGAUGCUCCUGUCUGUGGUCUGCGUGGCUUUGGUGUCAGUACAACGAGUAAGGGUCUGUAGACUGUGUCCGGAUUGUUAGAGUAUGGGGUCUUUGCGGAUCACUCUGCUCUUGAGGGAUGGAGGUUAUACUUACUAUGCAUGCGGUGUCUGGUUCGGGUUCAGGAUUUAAUUUGGGACUCGAUGAUGUUGGAGUCGGGGACGAUGUUCAUCACUUGAGAGUGUCUGGUGCAGGUUUCGGAUUAAUAAGGGGCGUGUGGUCAGUGUCUGGUACAAAGGCUUGUGAGCGCUGAACCCAGGCCUUGAACCCUUGGUGGUUGCUCUGAGGUUCGAACCUGGCAACUGGGACAGAGGGCAAUACAAGCACUCCCCGCCUCCCCCAGCCUUAGUUCGAAACCUUGUACCUACGCUUCUCAUCCACGGAGAGGCUAACUACAGACCGGGAAACUACUUCAGCCACGCCCAUCAGGUCAAGAAAUUGAAUAUUUCAGCAUCCUAUCUCCUCCUAAAAAGAAAAAUAAAAAACAAAAAUCAACAACAACAAAAAGAAAUUGAAUAUUUCCAGCACCACAGUGGUAUUCUGUGAUCCUUUUUCCAUCCUCAUAUCUAAAGGUCCUGCCUCCUUAGGAGCAAAAAAAUCACCAGAAAGAGGAGGACAUUACAGGAUUUGGGUAUCGGCAUUUCUGGGGACAUACUGGAU